UGUAUUGAUUAUAAAAAAUUUAUAUAUUACUGAUAUAUAAUAGUAUAAAAUAUUUAUAGUUUUAAUAAUAAAAUAUUUUAAUUAUUUUAAACUGUAUUAUUAAUACGGAGUCUGUAUCGUAUCGAUAUUUUAUUAGCAUGAUACGACACGAUAAAUACGGCGCAUGUCAAUGGACACUUAAAUUAUUGACAAUAAUCACCAUUAAAUUGAAUGUGUGUAAAUUAAAUUGAAUGAUUUUUUAUGGACAUGUAUAUGCUAAACUAUAUAAUUUUUUCUUUUUUAUUUAUUA
rnacentral:lncRNA from 1 species